rnacentral:rRNA from 1 species
UACGUUCGGAAGGGAUAACCGCUGAAGGCAUCUAAGCGGGAAGCUCGUUCCAAGAUGAGAUCUCCCACCCUUUGUUGGGGUAAGGCUCCCAGCUAGACGACUGGGUUGAUAGGCCAGAGAUGGAAGCACGGUAACGUGUGGAGUUGACUGGUACUAAUAGGCCGAGGACUUGCUCACAA